GCUACAGGCUUAACACAUGCAAGUCGAGGGGCAGCAUGGUCUUAGCUUGCUAAGGCCGAUGGCGACCGGCGCACGGGUGAGUAACACGUAUCCAACCUGCCGUCUACUCUUGGACAGCCUUCUGAAAGGAAGAUUAAUACAAGAUGGCAUCAUGAGUCCGCAUGUUCACAUGAUUAAAGGUAUUCCGGUAGACGAUGGGGAUGCGUUCCAUUAGAUAGUAGGCGGGGUAACGGCCCACCUAGUCUUCGAUGGAUAGGGGUUCUGAGAGGAAGGUCCCCCACAUUGGAACUGAGACACGGUCCAAACUCCUACGGGAGGCAGCAGUGAGGAAUAUUGGUCAAUGGGCGAGAGCCUGAACCAGCCAAGUAGCGUGAAGGAUGGCUGCCCUAUGGGUUGUAAACUUCUUUUAUAAAGGAAUAAAGUCGGGUAUGGAUACCCGUUUGCAUGUACUUUAUGAAUAAGGAUCGGCUAACUCCGUGCCAGCAGCCGCGGUAAUACGGAGGAUCCGAGCGUUAUCCGGAUUUAUUGGGUUUAAAGGGAGCGUAGAUGGAUGUUUAAGUCAGUUGUGAAAGUUUGCGGCUCAACCGUAAAAUUGCAGUUGAUACUGGAUAUCUUGAGUGCAGUUGAGGCAGGCGGAAUUCGUGGUGUAGCGGUGAAAUGCUUAGAUAUCACGAAGAACUCCGAUUGCGAAGGCAGCCUGCUAAGCUGCAACUGACAUUGAGGCUCGAAAGUGUGGGUAUCAAACAGGAUUAGAUACCUUGGUAGUCCACACGGUAAACGAUGAAUACUCGCUGUUUGCGAUAUACGGCAAGCGGCCAAGCGAAAGCGUUAAGUAUUCCACCUGGGGAGUACGCCGGCAACGGUGAAACUCAAAGGAAUUGACGGGGGCCCGCACAAGCGGAGGAACAUGUGGUUUAAUUCGAUGAUACGCGAGGAACCUUACCCGGGCUUAAAUUGCAGAUGAAUUACGGUGAAAGCCGUAAGCCGCAAGGCAUCUGUGAAGGUGCUGCAUGGUUGUCGUCAGCUCGUGCCGUGAGGUGUCGGCUUAAGUGCCAUAACGAGCGCAACCCUUGUUGUCAGUUACUAACAGGUUCCGCUGAGGACUCUGACAAGACUGCCAUCGUAAGAUGUGAGGAAGGUGGGGAUGACGUCAAAUCAGCACGGCCCUUACGUCCGGGGCUACACACGUGUUACAAUGGGGGGUACAGAGGGCCGCUACCACGCGAGUGGAUGCCAAUCCCCAAAACCUCUCUCAGUUCGGACUGGAGUCUGCAACCCGACUCCACGAAGCUGGAUUCGCUAGUAAUCGCGCAUCAGCCACGGCGCGGUGAGUACGUUCCCGGGCCUUGUACACACCGCCCGUCAAGCCAUGGGAGCCGGGGGUACCUGAAGUGCGUAACCGCGAGGAGCGCCCUAGGGUAAAACUGGUGACUGGGGCUAAGUCAUAACA
rnacentral:rRNA from 1 species